rnacentral:tRNA from 1 species
GACCGCGUGGCUCAGUUGGCAGAGCAUUGAACUAGUAUCCCAAAGGUCGCGGGUUCGAUUCCCACCGUGGACA